GGUUGUAUAGUGUAGCGGUUAUCACACCAGAUUCUGACUCGUUGGAAAUUCUGGUGACCCCGGUUCGAUUCCGGGUACGACCU
rnacentral:tRNA from 1 species